rnacentral:rRNA from 1 species
AUUGAACGCUGGCGGCAUGCUUUACACAUGCAAGUCGAACGGUAACAGGCCGCAAGGUGCUGACGAGUGGCGAACGGGUGAGUAAUGCAUCGGAACGUGCCCAGUCGUGGGGGAUAACUACUCGAAAGAGUAGCUAAUACCGCAUACGAUCUAUGGAUGAAAGCGGGGGACCGUAAGGCCUCGCGCGAUUGGAGCGGCCGAUGUCAGAUUAGGUAGUUGGUGGGGUAAAGGCUCACCAAGCCAACGAUCUGUAGCUGGUCUGAGAGGACCACCAGCCACACUGGGACUGAGACACGGCCCAGACUCCUACGGGAGGCAGCAGUGGGGAAUUUUGGACAAUGGGCGCAAGCCUGAUCCAGCAAUGCCGCGUGCAGGAAGAAGGCCUUCGGGUUGUAAACUGCCUUUGUACGGAACGAAACGGCUCUGGUUAAUACCCGGGGCUAAUGACGGUACCGUAAGAAUAAGCACCGGCUAACUACGUG